CCAUUUUUAAAGAAAAUGGAGUCAGACAAGAUGACUUUUAAAAUAAAUGUUGAAGACAAAUGAAAGAAGUUUCAAAUGUCUUUGGAUUACAAAUAAAAAAUACACCAUGGACAACAUUUUUUUAUGUAACAUUGCGUAUUGUUAGAUCUAUUUGUGAUAUAUUUUAAAACAGAUUUGCCCCCGAUCCCAAUUAUUGAUAAAUUAACCCUAUCAAGUCAUGUUCGGGUUGCUUAUCCCAUUAUGUCAAUUUAAUGGAACUUUAAACAACUAGCAUACACGUAGAAUGGUUUAGCUAGCUAAA
rnacentral:lncRNA from 1 species